GAUACGUCUUCAGAGUUUGAUCCUGGCUCAGGAUGAACGCUGACAGAAUGCUUAACACAUGCAAGUCGAGGGGCAGCAUGGGCUUAGCUUGCUAAGCCCGAUGGCGACCGGCGCACGGGUGAGUAACACGUAUCCAACCUUCCGGUAACUCCGGUAUAGCCUUUCGAAAGAAAGAUUAAUCCCGGAUAGUAUGGUGAUUCCGCAUGGUUUCUCCAUUAAAGGAUUCCGGUUACCGAUGGGGAUGCGUUCCAUUAGGCAGUUGGCGGGGUAACGGCCCACCAAACCUUCGAUGGAUAGGGGUUCUGAGAGGAAGGUCCCCCACAUUAGAACUGAGACACGGUCCAA
rnacentral:rRNA from 1 species